rnacentral:lncRNA from 1 species
AAAAAGCCCCAGUAAUAAAAUCACUGCCUUUACUCCUGAUUUUAUGAAGAAAAACUGACCUGAAGUAGAUUUAGAACUUCACUGCUUCCAUGAAGACAGAAAAGAAGUCCCACAAGGAUUUUCUGAGCGCAACCAUGACCAGCGCACUCUGCAGAAAAUACAAAGGAGCCCAAUGUACCCGGAACGCUUCACGCCUGGAAGGUAAACACCGCCAGCUCAACAACUCCGGGUUGUAUCAGAUUUAGUGCACACCCACAGCCGGCCAAACACACCCAGCACCGCCACACACCGCAGGUGCUGCGGCUCCGGCCCGUC